AUUGAACGCUGGCGGCAUGCCUUACACAUGCAAGUCGAACGGUAACGGGCCUUCGGGUGCCGACGAGUGGCGAACGGGUGAGUAAUACAUCGGAACGUGCCCGAUCGUGGGGGAUAACGAGGCGAAAGCUUUGCUAAUACCGCAUACGAUCUACGGAUGAAAGCAGGGGACCGCAAGGCCUUGCGCGGACGGAGCGGCCGAUGGCAGAUUAGGUAGUUGGUGGGAUAAAAGCUUACCAAGCCGACGAUCUGUAGCUGGUCUGGGAGGAUGAUCAGCCACACUGGGACUGAGACACGGCCCCGACUCCCACGGGAGGCCACAGUUGGGAAUUUUGGACAAUGGGCGGAAGGCUGAUCCAGCCAUGCCGCGUGCAGGAUGAAGGCCUUCGGGUUGUAAACUGCUUUUGUACGGAACGAAAAGCCUUCUUUUAAUACAGGAGGGUCAUGACGGUACCGUAAGAAUAAGCACCGGCUAACUACGUG
rnacentral:rRNA from 1 species